UUUUUCAUCAAACCCAUACGUGUGGGGUAUCUAUGGAUAGGUCUUCAAAAAUGAUAUUGAGGUUUCUAAUAUCUUUUUUUCUAAACUGAAUAGUUUGCGCGAGAGACACUUCCAAAGUGGUAAAAUGUGUGUCCCCCCCCUGUAACUUCUAAAAUAAGAGAAUGAUAAAACUAAAAAAAAUAUAUGAUGUACAUUACUAUGCAAACUUCCACCGAAAAUUGGUUUGAACGAGAUCUAGUAAGUAGUUUUUUUUUAAUACGUCAUAAA